AUUGAACGCUGGCGGCAGGCCUAACACAUGCAAGUCGAGCGGAUGAAGGGAGCUUGCUCCUGGAUUCAGCGGCGGACGGGUGAGUAAUGCCUAGGAAUCUGCCUGGUAGUGGGGGAUAACGUCCGGAAACGGGCGCUAAUACCGCAUACGUCCUGAGGGAGAAAGUGGGGGAUCUUCGGACCUCACGCUAUCAGAUGAGCCUAGGUCGGAUAGCUAGGUGGUGGGGUAAAGGCCUACCAAGGCGACGAUCCGUAACUGGUCUGAGAGGAUGAUCAGUCACACUGGAACUGAGACACGGUCCAGACUCCUACGGGAGGCAGCAGUGGGGAAUAUUGGACAAUGGGCGAAAGCCUGAUCCAGCCAUGCCGCGUGUGUGAAGAAGGUCUUCGGAUUGUAAAGCACUUUAAGUUGGGAGGAAGGGCAGUAAGUUAAUACCUUGCUGUUUUGACGUUACCAACAGAAUAAGCACCGGCUAACUUCGUG
rnacentral:rRNA from 1 species